rnacentral:tRNA from 2 species
AAAUCUGAAGUAAAUUGUUACAUUUAGUUUCGACCUAAAAGAUUGAUCGUAUAGAUCCAGAUUUU